AUUGAACGCUGGCGGCAGGCCUAACACAUGCAAGUCGAGCGGAGCGGCGGACGGGUGAGUAAUGAAUAGGAAGCUGCCUGGUAGAGGGGGAUAACGUACGGAAACGGGCGCUAACACCGCAUACAAUCAGAUGAGCCUAGGCAGGAUUAGCUAGUUGGUGGGGUAAAGGCCUACCAAGGCGACGAUCCGUAACUGGUCUGAGAGGAUGAUCAGUCACACGGGAACUGAGACACGGUCCAGACUCCUACGGGAGGCAGCAGUGGGGAAUAUUGGACAAUGGGCGCAAGCCUGAUCCAGCCAUGCCGCGUGUGUGAAGAAGGUCUUCGGAUUGUAAAGCACUUUAAGUUGGGAGGCGUUACCAGCAGAAUAAGCACCGGCUAACUUCGUGCCAGCCGCCGCGGUAAUUC
rnacentral:rRNA from 1 species